AGUCAUGGAAGUGAUUGUCCGAUAAAAUUAGAACGAUACAGAGAAGAUUAGCAUGGUUCCUGCACAAAGAUGACAUGCACAAAUCGAGAAAUGGUCCAAAUUUUU
rfam:Brassica rapa chromosome A3, whole genome shotgun sequence.